rnacentral:rRNA from 1 species
UGAGAGGAUGGUCGGCCACACUGGAACUGAGACACGGUCCAGACAUCUACGGAUGGCAGCAGUCGAGAAUCAUUCACAAUGGGGGAAACCCUGAUGGUGCGACGCCGCGUGGGGGAUGAAUGGCUUCGGCCCGUAAACCCCUGUCAUUAGUGAACAAACCUCUUGGAGUAAUAUUUCAAGAGCUGAUAGUAGCUAAAGAGGAAGGGACGGCUAACUCUGUGCCAGCAGCCGCGGUAAUACAG